CGGAUAAGCCUUUGGGUAAAGAUUUAUUGCCCAAGAGGAGCUCGCGUCUGAUUAGCUAGUUGGUGAGGUAAGAGCUCACCAAUGCAGCGAUCAGUAGCUGGUCUGAGAGGACGAUCAGGCACACUGUGACUGAUACAUGGCCCAGACUCCUACGGGAGGCAGCAGUGGGGAAUUUUCCGAAAUGGGCGAAAGCCUGACGGAGCAAGACCGUGUGAGGGAGGAAGGCUCUUGGGUUGUAAAGCUCUUUUCUCAGGGAAGAAGCUCUGACGGUACCUGAGGAAUCAGCCUCGGCUAACUCCGUGCCAUCAGCCGCGGUAAUACGGAGCGAGGCAAGCGUUAUCCGGAAUUAUUGGGCUUUCAGCGUCCGCAGGUGGCGAUUCAAGUCUGCUGUCUAAGCACGGGGCUUAACUCCGUUAAGGCAGUGGAAACUGAAUAGCUAGAGUGCCGUAGGGGUAGAGGGAAUUCCCGGUGUAGCGGUGAAAUGCGUAGAGAUCGGGAAGAACAUCGGUGGUGAAAGCGCUCUACUGGACGGCAACUGACACUCAGGGACGAAAGCUAGGGGACCGAAUGGGAUUAGAUACCCCAGUAGUCCUAGCUGUAAACGAUGGAUACUAGGUGUAGCUUGUAUCGACCCGAGCUGUGCCGAAGCUAACGCGUUAAGUAUCCCGCCUGGGGAGUACGCACGCAAGUGUGAUACUCAAAGGAAUUGACGGGGGCCCGCACAAGCGGUGGAGUAUGUGGUUUAAGUCGAUGCAACGCGAAGAACCUUACCAGGGCUUGACACUGUCCGGAAUCCCGGUGAAAGCUGGGAGUGCCUUCGGGAGCCGGAACACAGGUGGUGCAUGGCAGUCGUCAGCUCGUGUCGUGAGAUGCUGGGUUAAGUCCCGCAACGAGCGCAACCCUCGUCUCUAGUUGCCAGCAUUAAGUUGGGCACUCUAGAGAGACUGCCGGUGACAAAACCGGAGGAAGGUGGGGACGACGUCAAGUCAGCAUGCCCCUUACGCUCUGGGCGACACACGUA
rnacentral:rRNA from 1 species